rfam:Microbispora sp. ATCC PTA-5024 genomic scaffold scaffold00001, whole genome shotgun sequence.
UCGGUGACGUUCGGCGAGGUCUCCACCCGCUCCCAGUGGCAUCUGAUGCACCUUCCCCGGUGUCAGGCGCCACGGCGGCGACGCGGAUGGGGACCUGGCCGGACGGGUCGGCCCCG